UAAACAGACUAAAUCUAGUAUUAUGUUUGUCCAUCCAUAAACUGUGCCCAUUUAUGGAGUAUAACUUUGUCAAACACCUAAUUAUUUAGACUGGUUCCAUAUAUGUAUAUCCAUCUUAAUGAUUUGUUGGUGAGAUAAGUAUUCCUAUGUUUUAUUUAUUUGUCUAGUGUAAGUUAUAUUCCCUUUGUUUCAUUUCAAUACAUUUUGUUAUAUAAUUUACAAUGAUUCGGACUAUGCUUUUUUGACAUGUAGAAUUGCUUAUGUGAUUUAUGUUUCUGAGUGAUUAAUGCUGUUGAAUCGUUUUUUUUUUCCUUCUCUUUUUCGUGUUGUGCAUCAGGCAAGCAUGUCAACUUCAAGUUCUCAGUGCUCAUCAUCAAUCUGGAGGGGAACGUUCAGUUUCAACGAUUCUUUAUCUUGUUUCUCUUCAAGAUCUCACUAAUUGCCCCUUUAGAGUGGUUGAUGAGAUUAACCAAGGAAUGGAUCCCAUCAAUGAGAGGAAGAUGUUUCAGCAAUUAGUAAGGGUAGCCAGCCAGCCAAACACCCCACAGUCAGAACAAACAUAACCCAGAAAUGCUGUUUCUUUUUGUAAUUCCUAGUUUAUUGACCUUGAUUUGUCUAAUCUUUAAAAAGCUGUGUUAUAAAUUCAGUGACCAUUGAAAAGUUUACGGGUACAAAUGUACUCAUCAGCGUGUGCUUUGUCUAUAAAGUGAGUCUGAUAUGUAUAUAUAACAAAAAUGAAGAUAAUAGGAUAGGCUGGGAAUAAAAUGUUCAUAACAGA